ensembl:lincRNA
AGGCAGCUUUUGUACAUCCACUCUUGCAGAUCCAGUGACCACAGAUGAGGCCAUCUUUUAUUCACAUAGUAAGAGCGGGAUUGGAAUAGAGAGAUGGGGAAUGAGACAGAGAGGAGGCCUGCCACCUCCAUUUGAGCAUCAUUGCUUGGGGAAAGGUGAGGCAAUGGACUCCAUCCCAGUCUGUUUUCUGCAGGAGCAGGUUCAAGGGACCCGAUUCAUUUUACUUGAGACUGAGUCUACAUGGCAGAAAUACCACUGGGACAGUUUUAGGUGUGGGAAUUUGUAAGGAGAAAGAAGCUCAAUUGACCAUAAAAUGUUCUGACCCAGAACUAAGCCAGGAACAUUUGGAAUCAGUGUUUUGAACCUGGUGUGCACAGAGAAUAAUUUUGCCCAGGCUUUCUGAUGUAGAC